rnacentral:rRNA from 1 species
GGCUCAGGAUGAACGCUAGCGGCAGGCUUAACACAUGCAAGUCGAGGGGCAUCGGGAGUAGCAAUACUUGCCGGCGACCGGCGCAAGGGUGCGUAACGCGUGAGCAACAGUGCCCGUAUCAGGGGGGAUAAUCCAUGGAAACGUGGUCUAAUACCCCAUAGUAAUUAUGUAAGGCAUCUUAUAUAAUUUAAAGCUUUGGUGGAUACGGAUUGGCUCGCGUGACAUUAGCUAGAUGGUAAGGUAACGGCUUACCAUGGCUACGAUGUCUAGGGGUUCUGAGAGGAAGGUCCCCCACACUGGAACUGAGACACGGUCCAGACUCCUACGGGAGGCAGCAGUGAGGAAUAUUGGACAAUGGAUGGAAAUCUGAUCCAGCCAUGCCGCGUGCCAGGAAGACGGCCCUAUGGGUUGUAAACUGCUUUUGUAUGGGAGCAAUAAGGGCUACGCGUAGUCCGAUGAGAGUACCAUACGAAUAAGCACCGGCUAACUCCGUGCCAGCCGCCGC